UUCCUGUGAAAUAUAGAGAUUUCAGAAUUGAACUUGCUAUUUAGUACAUACCGAACAGUAAUUCAGAACGAGAUAUUACGAAUUAUACAUUUUUAGUUCGUUCGAGACAGUCUAUGUCAUAAAUAGGUGUCAUUGUAUGUUAAAAUUAGAAAUCCCUGAGGAUUGAAGAACCCGGUCAUCCAGAAGACCUUGGGUCUGCCAUAGGUGAUCCAUUGUCUGAAUUGGUGAUCUCGUUCCAGAAGCUCUGUGUACCAAAAUCCAAGCGUUGCCGAUUCCCAGGAGAUCUUCAACCAUUUCUCCGGAAUGCGAGCGUCGUACAUUGAAUCGAGUGAUUUUCGCAAACCUUGACUCAUCACGAUGGUACCCUCGAUAGCUAACUUCAAAUCUGUUAAAGUGCUAUGCACCUCUUUAAUGACUCUGCUGAUUCUGUAGAAAUUCGAUUGAGGAGCAAAUCAUCAUUAGGUGGAAAAAUGAGAGGAACCCAGGGAAAUAUACCUGUCGAUUUCUUGUCUCAAAAAUAUAUUCAUAGGUAGCAGCGCACCCAUUCGUUGAAGUGCUUCUUUCACUUCGAAAGAAUUAUAUUGUUUCGGUAAUUUGACCAGCAUGUCAUUAGCGAGUUUGUAGACCACAUUUUCUCUGGUUUCACCACCUUGUGCACCCCCUUCUUUAGGCUGUACACUCAGAAUUGUAUCGAGUAUUCCUUUUGCCGUGUUUAUCUGAUAAGUGAUGUCCGCGUUUGGAUGUAAACCAAAUACUUCUGGUGUGUCCGUUGCAUGUAAAUUGUCGAUAUAGUCCAAGUAUUCUUGGAGGUUUCUCGUCUGUGGCACUUUGUAUCCACGGUAAAAUUCGAAGCCAGGUCGUAACAGUACAUCGCAAAACCAAACAUGAGUAAACGUAGUUAACAAACGUUUGUCGAAGUCAUCGGUAACUCUGCCACCGUAUUGAACCUAAAUAGAUGUAGGGUAAGUGCAGGAUAGUUCGACCACUGGGAGAGACCAGUCAAUGUUAGCAUUUUAACAUUGAAAGAAGAGGAAAAUCUGUCUCAUUGAGAUAAAACAAAUGAGUCAUUUCGUUGUAAAUCUUGCUUCAAUUGGCAUAAAAGCGUAUUUAAGUUAUAAAUUACAUUUGAAGCUUUUAAUAGAUCUGAAAACUUUUGCAUUGCAAUUUUAAUGAUAUUCGAAAGAUGCUUACAGAUUUAUCAAAUCUGCAUAAAAUUUUAAUAGAAUACACAUGUAUUCAUUUUUACUUUACGUUAAUAAGAUGAUUUUGGUAUGGUUCGACCACUUUGAUUCGGAACAAUUCGACCAUAUUAAAUCAAUAUAUACGAUAAUAUUACUACAAAUUAACAAAAAAUGCCUAUUAGAAAAAGAAAAUUGAAGAAGAAAGACAUACCAAUUAAUUUUCUUAUUCAUUGUACUUUAGUCUCAUCUGAAUGGUUAGAACUGCAGGUGAGACUGGCCAAUUGUAGCAUUAAUGUCUUUUUUUAUUGGAAAUGAAAAAAAAUAAUUUUAUUAAAAUAUGAUUUACAGAUAAAUAACACGAAUAAUAUUUAAAUUUGUCCAAGAUAACAAAAAUCUGAAAAAAUAAUUGUACAAUGUUUUUUCAAAAGGUGGUCGAAACUUACCCUAAAAUUUUCAGGUACAAUAAAUUUUUUAUUUUCAUUUCAGCAGUGUCAUGUUUAUGAUAUUUACAACGAUGUAUUAAUUUAAUGUAACAUCAUGUCAAGGACAUAAUGACAGGAAAUAUUUAAUGGCAAAGUACUUUGACAAAUAAUUAAAUAAUUAAUAAAACAGACCUCUCCAAGCAUAUAGCAAACAGUUGGCCACGAUACACCUCUCUUUGGAUCCAUGUCGUCCAAAUGGUUCUGUAUAAAUUGAACGGAAGCAGCAAAGUCAGCCUGAUUAAACUCGUAUGGUAUGUUCCAGCCAAGAGGUCCAAAUUUUCUACGUUCUUGCACUACUGUAUGUAAGAACGCAACAGCGUAUAAUAAAGGUGGCCAUUGUGACUGCGUGCUAUAAUCCAACAUAUCCUGCGUUACUCCUUGCUGUAAGAAGAGACCUGAAGUAAACCAAUGGGAAAUUGCUGAUGCACUUCGGUGGUCAUCCAAAGUCUAAACGCCUCGUGGACAGUGUCUGUUUCAACCAGAGCGUCCAUGACUUCCGUGCAAAAAGGAAGCGACAGAUCGGUGAAUAUAAACGUGGUGCCCUUUCCUUGUGCCCCGCACGUUCGAUACAAAUAUCUUAGAUCUUCCAAGAAAUUUGCCACGUUGUAAGAUCUUGUCAGAGUGAUUUGAAACGUUUUGUAACCGGCGAUGAAGGACGAUAACUUCGUGAGACUCUGCUUGCCAGAUCCUCCAACGCCUACCAACAUCACAUUUCCUUUUGGAUGUCGGAUGACUCUGGAUAUUUUAACUAAGUGUAGCAUGGCGUCGGGGAAGAAAACCAAAUCCAUGCCCGAGCCUCUUUGCAUUUCAUUGAAUUGGGAGAGAAACAUUUCUAAUCUGUCUCUGAGAAUUUGUUCGUCGUAAACCGGUUCGUAGACUUUUGGUAAUUCGACGUCAGUGUCUUCACCUUCCUCACCAGUUGGCUCGGGAGCAUCUCUGAAAAUUAUUGCGUCUAUUGUUAAUUAUAACUUAAGGUAAAUUAAGGUAAAUUAAGGUAAAUUAAGGUAAAUUAAUAAAUCAAGUUAA